rnacentral:lncRNA from 10 species
CUAUCUAUCUAUCUAUCUAUCUAUGUAUUUUAAGAGAUGAGGUCUUGCUUUGUCACCCAGACUGGAGUGCAGUGACACAAUACUAGGUCACUGCAGCCUUGAGUUCCUAGGUUCAAGUGAUCCUCCUGCCUCAGCCUCCUGAGUAGCUGGGACCACAGGUGAGAGCCACUGUGCCUGGCUAAUUUUUUCAGUUUUCUUGUAGAGACAAGAUCUCACUCAGUUGCCCAGGCUGGUCUUGAACUCUGGGCCUCAAUCAAUUCUCCUUCCUUGACCUCCCAAAGUGCUGGUAUUACAGGUGUGAGCCACCACAUCAGGCCUCUAUCUCUAUUUGCCCAUUUUGCAUUGCUUUAAAGAAAGACCUGACACAGGGUAAUUUGUAAAGAGAAGA